rnacentral:rRNA from 1 species
AGCGAACGCUGGCGGCAGGCCUAACACAUGCAAGUCGAACGAACUCUUCGGAGUUAGUGGCGGACGGGUGAGUAACACGUGGGAACGUGCCUUUAGGUUCGGAAUAACUCAGGGAAACUUGUGCUAAUACCGAAUGUGCCCUUCGGGGGAAAGAUUUAUCGCCUUUAGAGCGGCCCGCGUCUGAUUAGCUAGUUGGAGAGGUAAAGGCUCACCAAGGCGACGAUCAGUAGCUGGUCUGAGAGGAUGAUCAGCCACAUUGGGACUGAGACACGGCCCAAACUCCUACGGGAGGCAGCAGUGGGGAAUCUUGCGCAAUGGGCGAAAGCCUGACGCAGCCAUGCCGCGUGAAUGAUGAAGGUCUUAGGAUUAUAAAAUUCUUUCACCGGGGACGAUAAUGACGGUACCCGGAGAAGAAGCCCCGGCUAACUUCGUGCCAGCAGCCGCGGUAAGAC